AUUGAACGCUGGCGGCAUGCUUUACACUUGCAAGUCGAACGGUAACAGGCCGCAAGGUGCUGACGAGUGGCGAACGGGUGAGUAAUGCAUCGGAACGUGCCCAGUCGUGGGGGAUAACUACUCGAAAGAGUAGCUAAUACCGCAUACGAUCUAUGGAUGAAAGCGGGGGACCGUAAGGCCUCGCGCGAUUGGAGCGGCCGAUGUCAGAUUAGGUAGUUGGUGGGGUAAAGGCUCACCAAGCCAACGAUCUGUAGCUGGUCUGAGAGGACGACCAGCCACACUGGGACUAAGACACGGCCCAGACUCCUACGGGAGGCAGCAGUGGGGAAUUUUGGACAAUGGGCGCAAGCCUGAUCCAGCAAUGCCGCGUGCAGGAAGAAGGCCUUCGGGUUGUAAACUGCUUUUGUACGGAACGAAACGGCUCUGGUUAAUACCCGGGGCUAAUGACGGUACCGUAAGAAUAAGCACCGGCUAACUACGUG
rnacentral:rRNA from 1 species